UACGUAGGGUGCGAGCGUUGUCCGGAAUUAUUGGGCGUAAAGAGCUCGUAGGCGGUUUGUUGCGUCGGCUGUGAAAUCCCGAGGCUCAACCUCGGGUCUGCAGUCGAUACGAGCAAACUAGAGUGUUGCAGGGGAGACUGGAAUUCCUGGUGUAGCGGUGAAAUGCGCAGAUAUCAGGAGGAACACCGGUGGCGAAGGCGGUUCUCUGGGCCUGUACUGACGCUGAGGAGCGAAAGCGUGGGGAGCGAACAGG
rnacentral:rRNA from 1 species